GACGAACGCUGGCGGCGUGCUUAACACAUGCAAGUCGAACGGAAAGGCCCCUUUGGGGGUCCUCGAGUGGCGAACGGGUGCGUAACACGUGAGUAACCUGCCCUUGACUUCGGGAUAACUUCAGGAAACUGGGGCUAAUACCGGAUAGGAAUCCUUGCUGCAUGGUGGGGGUUGGAAAGCUUCGGCGGUUUUGGAUGGACUCGCGGCUUAUCAGCUUGUUGGUGGGGUAGUGGCUUACCAAGGCUUUGACGGGUAGCCGGCCUGAGAGGGCGACCGGCCACAUUGGGACUGAGAUCCGGCCAAGACUCUACGGGAGGCAGCAGUGGGGAAUAUUGCACAAUGGGCGGAAGCCUGAUGCAGCAACGCCGCGUGCGGGAUGACGGCCUUCGGGUUGUAAACCGCUUUCAGCAGGGGCGAAGCUUGUGGUGACGGUACCUGCAGAAGAAGCACCGGCUAACUACGUG
rnacentral:rRNA from 1 species